rnacentral:rRNA from 1 species
GAUGAACGCUGGCGGCGUGCCUAAUACAUGCAAGUCGAGCGGUAAGGCCUCUUCGGAGGUACACGAGCGGCGGACGGCUGAGUAACACGUAGGAACGUACCCCAAACUGAGGGAUAAGCACCAGAAAUGGUGUCUAAUACCGCAUGUGCUCUAAGGAGUAAAGCUUCGGCGGUUUGGGAACGGCCUGCGCACGAUUAGAUUGUUGGUGAGGUAAUGGCUCACCAAGUCGACGAUCGUUAGCUGGUCUGAGAGGAUGAUCAGCCAGACUGGGACUGAGAACGGCCCAGACUCCUACGGGAGGCAGCAGUGGGGAAUAUUGCGCAAUGGGCGAAAGCCUGACGCAGCAACGCCGCGUGCGGGAUGACGGCCUUCGGGUUGUAAACCGCUUUCAGCAGGGACGAAACUGACGGUACCUGCAGAAGAAGCACCGGCUAACUACGUGCCAGCCGCCGCGGUAACAC